UGAGCACUCAUAGUUUCAGAUCUAUUGAUUGAUUCUUGACAUCAACGCACUGAAUGGGCUCAGAAACGGAGAAGUGCCAUGGUGUACUGUGGGUUUCAGCCUUUCUGGAGAUGCAUAGUUCAACAAUAUUCUGUAUUAUUGGAGCAAGCUUUUCAUCCAUAAAUUCUAAGAUUAUUGAGCAUAUGACGGGUAUAUGAUGAAAUACACGCGAGGCAGGAGUGCAGCGCCUGACGGUGGCCGUGUGUUUCUCCGCAUCUACAGACAGGCUCCUGGAUCAAUCCGGCAAAUACACAAUACGUGCAUGGCUCGAUUGAGAGCUCCCG